rnacentral:rRNA from 1 species
AUUGAACGCUGGCGGCAGGCCUAACACAUGCAAGUCGAGCGGAUGAAGGGAGCUUGCUCCUGGAUUCAGCGGCGGACGGGUGAGUAAUGCCUAGGAAUCUGCCUGGUAGUGGGGGAUAACGUCCGGAAACGGGCGCUAAUACCGCAUACGUCCUGAGGGAGAAAGUGGGGGAUCUUCGGACCUCACGCUAUCAGAUGAGCCUAGGUCGGAUUAGCUAGUUGGUGGGGUAAAGGCCUACCAAGGCGACGAUCCGUAACUGGUCUGAGAGGAUGAUCAGUCACACGGGAAUGGAGACAGGUCCCGGACGCCUGAGGGACGAGCCAGGGGGAAAUUGGGGACAGUGGUGGAAAAUAUGACCCAGCGGGGCGGGGUGUGAAAAAGAGGUUUCGGGUUUGUAAAGAAGUUAAAGUGGGGGGAAAGUGCAGUAAUUUAUUACCUUGCUUUUUUGAGGUUACCAAAAAAAAAAGCACGGGCUAACUCCGUG